GACGAACGCUGGCGGCGUGCUUAACACAUGCAAGUCGAACGGAAAGGCCCCUUUGGGGGUACUCGAGUGGCGAACGGGUGAGUAACACGUGAGUAACCUGCCCUUGACUUCGGGAUAACUUCAGGAAACUGGGGCUAAUACCGGAUAGGAAUCCUUGCUGCAUGGUGGGGGUUGGAAAGCUUCGGCGGUUUUGGAUGGACUCGCGGCGUAUCAGCUUGUUGGUGGGGUAGUGGCUUACCAAGGCUUUGACGGGUAGCCGGCCUGAGAGGGCGACCGGCCACAUUGGGACUGAGAUACGGCCCAGACUCCUACGGGAGGCAGCAGUGGGGAAUCUUGCACAAUGGGCGGAAGCCUGAUGCAGCAACGCCGCGUGCGGGAUGACGGCCUUCGGGUUGUAAACCGCUUUCAGCAGGGGCGAAGCUUGUGGUGACGGUACCUGCAGAAGAAGCACCGGCUAACUACGUG
rnacentral:rRNA from 1 species